UACGUAGGGGGCAAGCGUUGUCCGGAAUCAUUGGGCGUAAAGCGCGCGUAGGCGGCCCUGUAAGUCCGUUGUGAAAGUCGAAGGCUCAACCUUCGAAAGCCGAUGGAUACUGCAGGGCUAGAGUCCGGAAGAGGCGAGUGGAAUUCCUGGUGUAGCGGUGGAAUGCGCAGAUAUCAGGAGGAACACCGGUGGCGAAGGCGGUUCUCUGGGCAUUACCUGACGCUGAGGAGCGAAAGUGUGGGGAGCGAACAGG
rnacentral:rRNA from 1 species